GCCUGGCCCCCGGGCUUCUGGGGUGCCCCAGGCCAGGGCAGGCUGCAGCCCUAAACUGUUGCAUGGCUUCCCUGUCUAAGUCCAAGCACAGAACUGUGCAGUAAAUCC
rnacentral:snoRNA from 1 species